ensembl:lncRNA
AUGGAUGUGGGAGAAAUGAGACAGACAGUCCAUUUUCCCCAAACACACCAGAUUAAAAUUUCAAGAACUCUAAUCUCAUCUGAUUACUAUUUAAAGGCACUUAAUGAAUUCUCCAUGACCUGUGUGAGGAAGCGUGAAGAGGUAUGUUUCAGUUUCCCUGAAGAUACCACAGAAAUGGUGGUUGUGUUGGGUACAGACUGUAGACUUGAAGUUGGCCAGGGAGUGCCUCCUAUAGGGCAUCCUGCAGAUUCCCUGUUAGGGACCCCUAAGAGGCCAAAGGAGGCACAGAAGGCAACAGCAAUUGGCUUGGAAGCCCAUGCCUAUCACUUUCCCUUUGAUCAGGAUCCUCUGGAUAGGAUCACGGUUCUAUAGGGUGCAGUCAACCACUCUUUUCCACAAGCUUUCUCCAGUUUCUGUCUUAUUAGGAUCUUACACUCUUCAGUUUAGACACAUUAAUCUACAUCUUGUUUCUCCCACAUUUCAGAGAGGGUACCAGUAGGUUAGCAGUGCAGAAGGACACAAAAGUUUCUUUCCUCUAUUUUUUUUCAGCGAUCAUGAUUCUUUCCCUUGCUGCAAUUAUAUACGUCACUUCUUCCUUUUUUCUUCUCACUCUUCUUCUCACAUCCCUCCAUGUCUCAUAAUCUACAAAAACCCCUAAGUCUUUACUAUGUGAUCAUUUCAAUUAAAAAGUAUAAAACCAUUGCACAGUGGUCUUAAAUUUCUUUAGACUUUACCAUAGAUGUUGUCCAUAGCAAUGACCUGAAAAAUACUAAUACGUUAUGAAUGACUUCUCCUUUCUUCAUUCUCAAUAUUUCUUAAUUCACAUAUCCUUAUUUGACUGUUUUAAGUAAGAAGUUUAUCUUGCUCUUCCAAUUAUAGUCAUUGAAGGCCUCUCUUCUUCUUUGACUUCUACAGAACAGAUAAAGUAUGCAAUAAAUAUCUACCGAUUGACUGUUCACAAAUCAAGUCUCCUCAUUGUGAGUUGUUGAUAUUGUCACUCCUCCUUGAGUAAACACAUGGUUGUCUUUUAAUAUAUUUUUAAUGAGGUAAGUACAUGCAAUUUACUUAGGGCUUAGAGAGGCAAAUCUAGGAUCAUUGAGCUUUCUUAGAGAGAGGGAGGUAGAUUUGUAACAAAAAGGCAACUAUAGGGAUGGAAAGAGAGUGGAGUAGUUUAAGGAUUAAAACAAAAGAUAAUGAAUACAAGGGUACAGAUAAAAGAAAUAAAAGAAGGGAAACAAACACAGAAAGGCUUUAUCUAGGAGAAAGUGAAAUAAAGUGUGGAAGAACGGUUGGCGGUAUAAGAGUUGUUAAAUAAAUCAAAAUAUUUUGUUUCCUGUCACAGGAUCAUUUUGUUCGGUCUUCUAAAGGUUUAUGGUGCAUUACAGGAGUUUAGUAUUCUUUGUUUCUGCCAGAAUUUGAGAAUGUCUGUGAGGCUAAGUUGUGGGAAAAGUAAAUUUGAGACAGCAGAGUUACUGUAGACCUUGAUUUGGACCCUUGUAAUGGUCUUGCCUCCUCCACUCUUUCUGUAUUGAUACUGCUAGUCUCUAGACCUUAAGUGAACAGCCUAAACAGCCAUUCCACCAUUCCUGUUUUUCAUACCUUCUCACAUUGGAGCAAAGUGCUCCAUUCUGAAAUGUUCUAGAAGGACCAUGCUCUAAGUUGUCUUUGUUCUACAACUUUUAUUCAUCAGCUAAUUUCGAAAUUAUUCUUCCUUUUGUGUGUGUGUGACUUCAAAACCAAAUUUCUUUCUUUCUUUUUUUGUUUUCUUUUUUUUUUUUUUUUUUUUUUUAAGAUGGAGUUUUGCUCUUGUCACCCAGGCUGGAGUGCAAUGGUGCGAUCUCAGCUAACUGCAACCUCUGCCUGCCGGGUUCAAGCGAUUCUACUGUCUCAGCCUCCCCAGUAGCUGGGAUUACGGGCACCCACCACCACACCCAGCUAAUUUUGCAUUUUUAGUAGAGAUGCAGUUUCACCAUGUUGGCCAGGGUGGUCUGGAACCCCUAACAUCAGGUUAUCCACCCGCCUCUGCCUCCCAAAGCGCUGGGAUUACAGGCAUGAGCCACUGCACCCGGCCUGAAACCAAAUUUCUAUUAACCGAUGAAUAGGUAAAUAAAAUGUGGUAUUUCCAUACAUUGUAAACCUGCUGAUAAUGGAGAUCUAAUGCCAUUCUUAUUUUAUUAUGCCAGAGAGAUCAUUGGGAAUUUUCCCUUCGAUUUUGGAAACAUGAGUAUGACCUUUACUUGUCACACUUUCAAGGAACCAAGGACUAGAUAUCUGAAUUUCUUCAGCACUCUCUUUAAUUUCAGAACUGUUCUCCUCAUUUCAUGUGCCCCUGAUUGGACUGUCGAUCAAGUCACUCCAUUUGUGUCCUAUCUAUAGGAGAUACCCAUACACUUAGCACAGUGAUUGCUCUAAAGCAUGAGCACAUAACACAAGCAAGUCCGGACAUCUUCCGUAAGAGUGCUGUAUGGACACUUUGAAAGAGUCGAUCUAUUCCUUUUAUCUCAGAAGCUGUUAAGGUAAAAUCUGAGGACUGCUAGAAGACAUUUUUCCUAACUCAAGAAGAAAAGGUAUCCAUAGUAGGAUAGGAUGAAGCCAACACAGAGACGCCUUGACACAUAGAACUGAUUAUGAUGGAGAUAAAAACAGAGGUGGAGAUGGAGAUGGAAAUAGAGAAAUGAGAUAGAGGAUUAUAAUGAUAUUGUUUGGACUCUGAAUCCAGCCAUGCCUAACCUCAGAUUUAUACUAAGUUAUGUGUCAGUAAACUCCUAUAGUUUUGUUUUGGCUUCAAUUGCCAUUAAAUUGGAUUUUUAACAUUUAAAACCAAAAGAGUGCUCAAUAUUCAAUCAGGCUGAGGAAAUUUUGCUGAUAGUACUUGUUUCUAGGAGUUUAUCCACCCUAAGUUAAGUGUAAUUUCCUGAUUGUUGGCAAAAAAAAAAAAAAAAAAUUCACUUUUUUUUUGUAGUUCAUGAAUAAAUAACCAUGACAUGGAUGGAUAAAUGGUCAUGGAUAGUUUAAUAUAAAAUAAUGAUGUAAUAGGCUGAAAUUUAAAGUGGUUCUUGAGAAGUAAAAGGCUGCUCCCAUAUCUAAUGCAUCAAUUCUGACAUUUAAAACAAAAACGCUUAAGUAAUGCAAUGCACUAUUCAUUAAUUUGAAGAACAUUUUUGCAGUCAUCAUUUGAAAUAUUUCUUUAGAACAAAGGAUGAAAGAUAAAAUAUGCUAGAAAAAAUAAUUUUUUGUGUGUACAAUCCACCAUUUUCCUUCUUACAGAAAAUUAUUUACUGUGGUUCUUUAUUUCAAAAGAAAUUAUUAUUUCCAUUUCAAAAGGAAUCAUACAUACAGAAAAAUGUCACAUGCCCCAAACCUAGUCAAAUACAUAAUGCAAACAAUCAGUAUAACUUGGGAAAGAGAUGUAUUUAUUUUUGGAUUAACUACACGGAAUAAUAUAUUUCCUAAUAUUUUUAUUCAAUGUGCUCAUUGAUUACAAUAAUAUUCUCCAGCUAGAAGUGCCUUUCUGGGCUUUUGCGUGCCCAGAGGAUAUUCUUGAACAAUUAGGGGAGUCUUCAAAAAGUGUCAUAUGUGGCAAGGAAUCUAAAUGUGCGCUCCUCAAUCCACUUCUAUCAGCAGUGUAGUAUCCCGAACUUUCACCUGUGGUUUUCUCUUCUCUGUAGCAUCCACUACUAUUGAUAGUUUUAUCAAAUCAUUUUAGUCUCUAUAGCUAUUUUAAAAUGUGAAAUAGGACUUAAUGCAUAUUUCAUCUUCUAGUCAUUUUAACUUUAAAGAUUUUUGAAUUCACUUUCAUGGCUGUAUUGAAAAUUUGUUCAAUCAGUCCCCAUUGGAAGAGUUGAGAGAGAAAAUGGAGAUGGUUUCCCUAAGGUGGUCAUUUGUAUGCUUUUUAGAGGCAGAUAAUUCUUUGAUUAAAGCAAUUGUCCCCCUUCCUCCCCAAAAAAAGUGAGUAUGGAAUCAGGAGUUUCAGGCUACCUAGGAACACCUUCUCUAGCACAGAGAAUUGUGUUUAGACUCAGAACAGUACUCCCUCAUAGACACUUUCCAAGGGCAAAAUAGAUUAUCUUAUGUACUAAUGAUGCUCAUGGGUGUCUCUCAGGACAUUUAGAUAUCAGAAAGAAAAAAAUAUUUCCAUGUAACAUUUGCUGAUAAUGAUAAGUUAUCCUUUAAGAAUUAUCACAUCAAAUAGAUAAAACUGGUUUGCCUGGGUAAGAAAAAUAAUGUGGAAUCCUUUAUGUUUCCUACUAAGAGCUUUCCAUCUAUUAUUGUAGCCUUCAGGAGCACUGACCUUCCUUCUAUUGACAGUUCUGGCAGAAAGCUAGGAAACCUGAAUAUAACUUUAAGCAUCCCCAGAAAUACAUGAAUUGUUAUUACAAAGCAAAAUAGUCACUUUAAAAUUGAGGGUUGAA